AGAACUUGUAGCUGUGCACGGGCCGGUUGCUGAGGACAUGUUUGAAGUCGGCCAGCGUGACUCGGUCGGGCGGGACGGGCAGCUUCACCAGAAAGAAGACAUUCAGCUGCUUCCUCUGAAGGGGUAAAUCACAGCUCAGCGACUGAAUUACCUGUGGCACUGGACUGAUUUCUCUACCAGCAUGAAACAAGGGAGCCAGCUGUGUGGGAGGCUGACAAAAAGCUGCCUUCCUGGAAAAUCAGACCCACUGCCUGCAGAGACAGAUGCCCCAGCAACAACCAACCAACAGAGCCUGGGCUGGAGUUUGCCAGCAGACACCAACGUACAAGCAGGAAGGAUCAGCAUUAAAGCAUCCAGCACUGGCUAAAGCUGUGCAGAAAGACCUCA